rnacentral:rRNA from 1 species
AGCAGCCGCGGUAAUUCCAGCUCCAAUAGCGUAUAUUAAAGUUGUUGCAGUUAAAAAGCUCGUAGUUGAAUUUCGGGAUCAAUUCGUCGGUCGUGCUUUUUGGUACGUACUGGCGUUAUUGGUUUCUCCCUUCUGACAAGCCAUGAUGUCAUUAAUUUGGUGUUAUGGGGAGUUAGGACUGUUACUUUGAAAAAAUUAGAGUGUUUAAAGCAGGCAUUAGCUUGAAUACAUUAGCAUGGAAUAAUGAAAUAGGACGUUCGAUCCUAUUUUGUUGGUUUCUAGGAUCAACGUAAUGAUUAAUAGGGAUAGUUGGGGGCAUUAGUAUUCAAUUGUCAGAGGUGAAAUUCUUGGAUUUAUUGAAGACUAACUACUGCGAAAGCAUUUGUCAAGGAUGUUUUCAUUAAUCAAGAACGAAAGUUAGGGGAUCGAAGACGAUCAGAUACCGUCGUAGUCUUAACCAUAAACUAUGCCGACUAGGGAUCGGAUGAUGUUAAUUUUUUAAUGACUCAUUCGGCGCCUUACG